CGUAGGGACCAAGCGUUGUUCGGAUUUACUGGGCGUAAAGGGCGCGUAGGCGGCAAUUCAAGUCAUCUGUGAAAUCUCCGGGCUUAACUCGGAACGGUCAGAUGAUACUGCUUUGCUAGAGUGCGGAAGGGGCAAUCGGAAUUCUUGGUGUAGCGGUGAAAUGCGUAGAUAUCAAGAGGAACACCUGAGGUGAAGACGGGUUGCUGGGCCGACACUGACGCUGAUAGCGCGAAAGCCAGGGGAGCAAACGGGAUUAGAUACCCCGGUAGUCCUGGCCUUAAACGAUGAAUACUUGGUGUCUGGAGUCUUUAAUGCUCCGGGUGCCGUCGCUAACGUUUUUAGUAUUCCGCCUGGGGAGUACGCUCGCAAGAGUG
rnacentral:rRNA from 1 species